rnacentral:lncRNA from 1 species
GUGAGCCUGUGCCUUAAUACCUGGGCACAGUGGACCCGAGGGAAAUUUGUCUCUGGAACAUCCCGGCUGAGCCUAAGAUCUAUACUGGCUGGGAACAGGAUGAUAAGUGGAGUUCCCUUUACCACAGGGCAAGGAAGUCUUCAGGGCUGUCCACAGUGAGCCUCUCUGCUAUCCCACAAGGGGGUCCUGUGCCAUAAGCAGUGGAUAGAGAAGAAGGCGUGAGAAAUGGGAGGCGCGUGCCUGACUCGCAGCCCAGACUCCUCCCCGCAGCUCUCGGCUCCGUACUUCUGUCUGAGUUAGUACAAAAGCCCUGCCCCACUCGUGGUCUCUUGCCCUGCGCUCCCAGCUCAAGAGCGCCAUGCGCCCAGCACGUCUUCCUCACUCCGGGGAUCAGCUCACGGAGUUUUAAAACCUACCGAGCUGGGUCGCCACAAAAUCCCGCAGCGCCACAACUUGGGGAAACGGUGACGGAGAUGUGGCCACACCGACCAUCUAAAGCGACCCCCAACUCCGAUGAAGCCUGGCUGGAAAGACGCGGCUUCCAUCCUGGGAGCCUGGAGGAGAAUCGAGCAGUGGCUAUUGCCUGGGCUUGCCUGGGCUUGUUCAGACAGGACUGCUCCCCUCGGUGACUGCACAGAUUGGGGGCUUUGGGAGACGUUGCCAGAAUCUGGAAGCCAAGGCCGGGGGCUACAGGGGCCCGGGGUCUGCGCACCUGCUCGCCGCGGAGCUCAGGAGUGCGUCCAGACAAACAACUUGACGGAGGAAAGCAAGAGAAAUGUAUUCGCUCGCAGUUCUGCAAGCCAAAAGUUUGAAACACAGCAGCGUCCACCCGUCUGUUGUCUCUGUGAAGGGAUCCCGCCCCAGCUUCCGAAGUCUGCCUGGGUUCGUAGAUGCAUUCCCUCCCAACCUAUGCCGUGUGCCUGCCUCACAUCUGCCUCAAUCUGCCUGUUUGCUGGGAUGCUUGUUGCUGGAUAGACUUCCACUGGUCCAGGAUGGCCAUCUCAGGAGAGCUUUAAAGAUUCACCUAUACAGGCCCCAGGGUCUUUGGGGAUGAUUAUUUUUGUUGUUGGUGGUGGUGUGUCUAUUUAUCUUUUAUUUUAUGUAUGUGGGUGUUUUUAUCUGUAUGUAUGGCUGAGUACCAUGUGUGUGAAGUUGCUGUGGGAGCUAGAAGAGGGUGUCAGAUCUCCCGGGACUAAAGUCACAGGUGGUUGUGAGCUGCCAUGUGGGUGCUGGGGAUCAAACCCGGGUCCUCUGCUCUCGCAGCUGUGUGCUUAACUGUACGCCAUCUCUCUAGCCUCCUAUACUAUGCCAUCUGGAUAUGACACUUUUAUGUCUGUAUCAUUGCGUUUCUUGAUUUGUCAUCGGUGUUGGGAGGAAUAAAAGCCCCUCCCCUCCUGAUGACCUGUCCCUCGGAUCAGCCUCCUGGCUCCGAGUGCCUGGGCAGGUGGACAACUGUGAGAAAAAUCUAUGUAUUUACCCAUACUAGUUAUGGAGAACUGAGCAGAG